rnacentral:rRNA from 1 species
UCUGCUUUUGCUGGGUGUACUUUCUUGUCAAUGGGUCAGCAUCAAUUUUGACCAUUGGAUAAAGUCAUUGGGAAUGUAGCAUCUUUAGAUGUGUUAUAGCCUGGUGAUGCAUACGGUGGUUGGGAUUGAGGAAUUCAGCAUGCCACCAGGCCGGGUUUCGACCACGUUCGUGCUUAGGAUGCUGGCAUAAUGGCUUUAAUUGACCCGUCUUGAAACACGGACCAAGGAGUCUAACAUAUCUGCGAGUGUUUGGGUGAAAACCCAUGUGCGUAAUGAAAGUGAAAGUUGAGAUCCCUUCUCAAGGGAGCAUCGACGCCCGGACCAGACCUUUUGUGACGGAUCCGCGGUAGAGCAUGUAUGUUGGGACCCGAAAGAUGGUGAACUAUGCCUGAAUAGGGUGAAGCCAGAGGAAACUCUGGUGGAGGCUCGUAGCGAUUCUGACGCGCAAAUCGAUCGUCAAAUUUGGGUAUAGGGGCGAAAGACUAAUCGAACCAUCUAGUAGCUGGUUCCUGCCGAAGUUUCCCUCAGGAUAGCAGAAACUCAUAUCAGAUUUAUGUGGUAAAGCGAAUGAUUAGAGGCCUUGGGGUUGAAACAACCUUAACCUAUUCUCAAACUUUAAAUAUGUAAGAACGAGCCGUCUCUUGACUGGACUGCUCGAUGAUUGAGAGUUUCUAGUGGGCCAUUUUUGGUAAGCAGAACUGGCGAUGCGGGAUGAACCGAACGCGAGGUUAAGGUGCCGGAAUUCACGCUCAUCAGACACCACAAAAGGUGUUAGUUCAUCUAG